rnacentral:rRNA from 1 species
UACAGAGGGGGCAAGCGUUGUUCGGAAUUACUGGGCGUAAAGGGCGCGUAGGCGGCCUGUUAAGUCGAACGUGAAAUCCCCGGGCUCAACCCGGGAACUGCGUCCGAUACUGGCAGGCUUGAAUCCGGGAGAGGGAUGCGGAAUUCCAGGUGUAGCGGUGAAAUGCGUAGAUAUCGGGAGGAACACCGGUGGCGAAGGCGGCGACCUGGGUCGAGACUGACGCUGAGGCGCGAAAGCGUGGGGAGCAAACAGG